ensembl:lncRNA
AAAUUUCCUAGCCUAGCGACACCAGAGCAGACCUAAUUACCUAGCGAGUAUGAAUUUAUUACUAUAAAUUUUUAAAAUUUAUUUUUUUCCUAGGUAUUUUCCUGCACCCAUGUGUGGCAUGCAGAUACACUCUGCCCUGGAAAUGAAUCCACCCCUAUGCUGGACAUCCCAAGGCUCGCACUAAAAACCCAGUGGCACCCAAGUAUUGGGAGAUAAUUGUCUCGACACAGACACCAUCUCUGGUGAAUGCUGAGCUGGUAAUUUGUGGUCUCCUGAAACUCCAUCCUUUUCUUUCCAUGUGAGGCUCUUCUGUUGUCUCUAUUCACCUGGUAUGAAGACCUGACCUAAAGCCAGGUAACGUUAAUUAAGGCUCAUAGAUUCAAUGAUAUAAAUAAAUCUCUCAGCAAGAUCCCUCGAGGAUCCCUG